rnacentral:tRNA from 1 species
UAACGUACAGCUUAAUUGGCUAGAGUACUUGGACUGCGUCCAAGGGGCGCGGUUUCGAAUCCCGCUGAGGUCG